AUGCAAGUUGAACGAGAAUGUAGGCUUCGGUCUACUAGUAAAGUGGCAGACGGGUGCGUAACACGUGGGUAAUCUACCUUCCGGCGGGGGACAACAGUCCGAAAGGAUUGCUAAUACCGCAUACGUCAGCGGCGCCUACGGGCGCUGUUGGGAAAGAUGGCCUCUCCUUGGAAGCUGUCACCGGAAGAUGAGCCCGCGCCCCAUCAGCUAGUUGGUGAGGUAAUGGCUCACCAAGGCUAAGACGGGUAGCUGGUCUGAGAGGAUGAUCAGCCACACUGGGACUGCGACACGGCCCAGACUCCUACGGGAGGCAGCAGUGGGGAAUAUUGGGCAAUGGGCGAAAGCCUGACCCAGCCACGCCGCGUGAGUGAUGAAGGCCUUCGGGUCGUAAAGCUCUGUGGGGAGGGACGAACAAACUCUGGGCUAAUCACCAGGGUCCUGACGGUACCUCCUUAGCAAGCACCGGCUAACCCUGUGCCAGCAGCCGCGGUAAUACAGGGGGUGCAAACGUUGCUCGGAAUCAUUGGGCGUAAAGCGCACGUAGGCGGUCUGUUAUGUCGGAUGUGAAAGCCCUUGGCUUAACUGAAGAAGUGCAUCCGAAACUGGCAGGCUAGAGUACUAAAGAGGGUCGCGGAAUU
rnacentral:rRNA from 1 species